rnacentral:rRNA from 1 species
UACGUAGGGGGCUAGCGUUGCUCGGAAUCACUGGGCGUAAAGCGCACGUAGGCGGCUUCUUAAGUCAGGGGUGAAAUCCUGGAGCUCAACUCCAGAACUGCCUUUGAUACUGAGAAGCUUGAGUCCGGGAGAGGUGAGUGGAACUGCGAGUGUAGAGGUGAAAUUCGUAGAUAUUCGCAAGAACACCAGUGGCGAAGGCGGCUCACUGGCCCGAUACUGACGCUGAGGCACGAAAGCGUGGGGAGCAAACAGG